rnacentral:misc_RNA from 1 species
UCUCCGUAGGUGAACCUGCGGAGGGAUCAUUACAGAGUUCAUGCCCUUCCGGGUAGAUCUCCCACCCUGUGUUAUCGUCACCUUUGUUGCUUUGGCGGGCCGCCCAGGCCUUGGCCCGGCUACCGGCUCCGGCUGGUACGCGCCCGCCAGAGGACCCUAACUCUUGAAUAUCAGUGUCGUCUGAGUACUAUGUAAUAGUUAAAACUUUCAACAACGGAUCUCUUGGUUCUG